CACAAUUUUGGGCCCAAUUUUUUUUACGCCCGAGGCCUAAAUUUUUUUGAGAGUUUUUCGGGACGGCUCUGCAAUAGCAACUAGAAAUUCAGCCAAUUGAGGAUGAAUUAGAAGCAAAUUCUUGUGCAUGUGAUGAGAUUCAUAUCUAAGAGUUCUCUACCUAAGGGAUUAAGGAAGAAAGCUCCAGUCAUUCCGGAUCGCAAACAAACAACGGUAAAGGUAAGGCAACUUGAUCGAUGGCACUACUUGGAUCGAACACACUCAUGAUGCACGCUUCCGCGAAGAUCCUAGUUAUGGUUUAAACUUUUGGUUAAAUGUUUUUGUUAAAACGGGUCUUUUGUAUGUAAGUUAAUCCGGUAGUGGUUAGAUGUUAAACUUGUAGUUAAAGACUUGGUUAAUAUUUAUGAAAUAUUUGGGGUAUAAACUCUUUUGUAACUAUUUUGUUAGUUAAUAUGAAGUUAAAU